GAUGAACGCUGGCGGCGUGCCUAAUACAUGCAAGUCGAGCGAACGGACGAGAAGCUUGCUUCUCUGAUGUUAGCGGCGGACGGGUGAGUAACACGUGGAUAACCUACCUAUAAGACUGGGAUAACUUCGGGAAACCGGAGCUAAUACCGGAUAAUAUUUUGAACCGCAUGGUUCAAAAGUGAAAGACGGUCUUGCUGUCACUUAUAGAUGGAUCCGCGCUGCAUUAGCUAGUUGGUAAGGUAACGGCUUACCAAGGCAACGAUGCAUAGCCGACCUGAGAGGGUGAUCGGCCACACUGGAACUGAGACACGGUCCAGACUCCUACGGGAGGCAGCAGUAGGGAAUCUUCCGCGAUGGGCGAAAGCCUGACGGAGCAACGCCGCGUGAGUGAUGAAGGUCUUCGGAUCGUAAAACUCUGUUAUUAGGGAAGAACAUAUGUGUAAGUAACUGUGCACAUCUUGACGGUACCUAAUCAGAAAGCCACGGCUAACUACGUGCCAGCAGCCGCGGUAAUACGUAGGUGGCAAGCGUUAUCCGGAAUUAUUGGGCGUAAAGCGCGCGUAGGCGGUUUUUUAAGUCUGAUGUGAAAGCCCACGGCUCAACCGUGGAGGGUCAUUGGAAACUGGAAAACUUGAGUGCAGAAGAGGAAAGUGGAAUUCCAUGUGUAGCGGUGAAAUGCGCAGAGAUAUGGAGGAACACCAGUGGCGAAGGCGACUUUCUGGUCUGUAACUGACGCUGAUGUGCGAAAGCGUGGGGAUCAAACAGGAUUAGAUACCCUGGUAGUCCACGCCGUAAACGAUGAGUGCUAAGUGUUAGGGGGUUUCCGCCCCUUAGUGCUGCAGCUAACGCAUUAAGCACUCCGCCUGGGGAGUACGACCGCAAGGUUGAAACUCAAAGGAAUUGACGGGGACCCGCACAAGCGGUGGAGCAUGUGGUUUAAUUCGAAGCAACGCGAAGAACCUUACCAAAUCUUGACAUCCUUUGACAACUCUAGAGAUAGAGCCUUCCCCUUCGGGGGACAAAGUGACAGGUGGUGCAUGGUUGUCGUCAGCUCGUGUCGUGAGAUGUUGGGUUAAGUCCCGCAACGAGCGCAACCCUUAAGCUUAGUUGCCAUCAUUAAGUUGGGCACUCUAAGUUGACUGCCGGUGACAAACCGGAGGAAGGUGGGGAUGACGUCAAAUCAUCAUGCCCCUUAUGAUUUGGGCUACACACGUGCUACAAUGGACAAUACAAAGGGCAGCGAAACCGCGAGGUCAAGCAAAUCCCAUAAAGUUGUUCUCAGUUCGGAUUGUAGUCUGCAACUCGACUACAUGAAGCUGGAAUCGCUAGUAAUCGUAGAUCAGCAUGCUACGGUGAAUACGUUCCCGGGUCU
rnacentral:rRNA from 1 species